UCCCAAAACUGGAAUGCGACGUUCCGGGUCCUGAGCUGCGCGUCCCCUCCCCCAGCCCACGCCCUGGCCCCGGAGGUGCAGGGGCGAGCUGAGAAUCAGGCGCAGUGGCCCGCAGGGUGCAGGGCGUGUGCAGGGAAGCUGUGGCCGCACCUCCCCGCCCGGGGUUCCUGUCUGCCACCCCCUUUUGUUAUAGGAUGCGCGGGGAGCUUUCUCAGAGAAGCUGACCGGUUGGUUGGGAGUGGUGGAUGGUUGAUUCUGUUGCGUCUCUUUCCUGCCUUUCCGUCGUCCCCCUUUCCCCUCGCCUCCCCCCACCCUUUCCAAUCCAGGUCCCUUAAACCUGAUCGCUUUCCCAGACUGAGGGAGGCUUCUAGGGCAGCCGACAGACAAGAGGGGAGGAGAGGAGGUGGAGAAGUGUCCGGACGUCGACAUGAAGAGAAAGGUGGACGCGAGCUCGGUCAUUCAAAGUCUCCCCCACCCCGCCGCAGCCGCUACCCAGCAGGGGAAAAUGGAGAGGCAGAAAGAAAGGAGAGAGAAGAAAGUAGUUGCGCCGGGCUGUGUCGUGGGGCGGUGCGCGGAGCUGUUCGGUAGGGAGAGGAGCUUCAACUCUGAGUCCCGUGAACAUAAUCUGCGCGGUUAUAACCAGCCAACCCGGCCAGAUGGCUCCGCGCUCAGCGCCUUAACCCCUUCCGCGCCGCGCCGCCCGCCCCCGCCCGGCCCGCUCAGCGCCGCGCACGCCGGUGCCCCAGAGCCCCUCGGACCUCGCUUCGGGACCUGUGGCGGGGAAGGGGUCAUUUCUCCUAGUUCCCCUUGAAAAAGAAAAGAAAACAAAACAAAACAGCAACAGCCACAAAAACUUCCAAAUCAGUAGUAUUCAUCAGUAACCCCCACCCUUGAGUUCUUUUUUAGAGAUCCAGGAAAAAACGAAACAUUAAAUUUACCGUAACAGGUUACAUGUUAGUGUCUUCAGCCUUUCUUAGUUGUUCUUUUUCUUGAAAUUUUUCUUUUUGAUCUCUUUUCUUUUACAAGGCAUUAGGGCCUUUUUCUGGCCCUUUCCUCUGGCGGAUCAGGUCUGAGGCGUAGACUCCUCCUCCAAACCUUAGACCCUUCCAGCUCUUGAUCUCUCCCCACCCCCUACCAAGCCCACCCGCCACUCCUCCCCCCACCCCACAACACGAACACGCCCUAGGACAAUCGCUCCCCGGCGAACUCGCCGCUCCCGGGGGCCGGCGCCCAGGACGCCGUGUCGGCGGUCAAGGGAGGUCAAGGUAGAGGGCGUGGGGGCGGGUGGUCCGAGGGACUAGGGAGGGGCUGUGUGUGUGCGCGCGCGCUUGUCUGCGGGAGCUGGAGUGUGGAAAGGAGAAGGGGAUGGAUCACAGCCUCCCAUUUCACCCAGCCUCCAGCUUCUAAACCCCUUCCUUCCAAACUAGGAUGGGGCCCUGCAGUUAAUCGCUCGCCCAGCACCCACCAGUCUGCACCCGGGGACAGCGCGAGAAGCAGGAAAGGCGAGCAACAAACAAACCUCUUCGUGGCGCCCAGAAAGUAAUGACGCGCACUUCCCCACCGGUGGAUUCAUUCGAGGAAAGGAUGGGGGAGGGGGCAAAAUCUCUUAUUUGGAGAUAAUUUUAGCUGCCCGUUAGACCCCACUUGCUCCGAGCCGUUCUCUCUAAAUUUACCAAGUUAAGUCAUCGUGCUUUCGCCCAUUUGCCAUCGAGAGAAGUGGGGGGUUGGGGGGGAAUAUCACUUAGGGAUCAACGAGAAAUCGAGAACCCUGGAGCGGAGUUUUGCCCUUUUGCCCCCUGCCCGAGUCCUUGCGUGGUGGACCUUCUCUCCAAGCUCCUCAUCCCUUCCUCCCGGCCACUUCAGCCACUCCUCACAUCAUCUCCUGCCAGGACCUUUUGACUCACGCGCGACUGGGGAGGGGAGCGAGUAUCCCGUUUCCUCCCUGCCCUGUCGUUGGAGGUGUCUAAUAAGCAAGCCACUCCAUGUUUCGGUUAGGGCUCAGGUUCAAAAAAUCCAAAUACCUUGGAAUUGUUUGAGAUUUUGGUCAAACAGCAGAACUGCCCCCACCGGUUCAGGACCAACCGGACACAAGGAGAAGCUGGGGAGUUUGAUGGGGAGGUGGGAAGGGAGGGGGAGUCUGGGGGUUGCGUACUAGAUAGAUUGUACCUGCCUCAUCAUUAUCCUGGCUGAUGGGGGUUGCCACAUCGAAAACUGCCGGAAGCGCCCGCUGAGGCCCAGGGGCGUCACCUCCUGCGGUUCCUCGCAAGGGUAGGGUCCUCCUUCAGUGUCUCCCCUCGUGCCAAAAUGUCGACGUCUUCCUCAGGGCCAGACGAGGCUGCCGACUCGUUCCCUCCACCCCGACACACAGCACCAUGAAGGUUUGGAUUGGGCGUGCUCUGUCGGGUUCUGCUUUUCUCCCUCUCAUCUGGCCCGCCUCCCUGCCCUCCCCCACUUCCCGCACUUGCCCCCCUCCUCCAGCUUCUCGCCCUGGUCAAAGGAGGGAUUCAGGCCCCAGUUUCAGAUCCACUGAUGGAGUUCUUUACUCAAGCUCCAGAUCCUCCGGGAACCUUUUGCAAGGAAAGAGGUGGUUGGCUCCUGCUGCAGCAGGGAAGGGGUUAAAUACAUGUGCGGACUGAUCUGCAGGCAGCUCCCAGGUCCCUGGCAGUCUGGAGGGAGGAGGGGAAGGGGGGCAAACAAACUUGAAAAAUCAGAAGAAACGAAGAAGAAGAAAAGGCAGCAAGCAGUGUCUUUAGGACUUGGAUUUCUUCUGCAGAUGCCUUGCACUGGCUGGCCGCCUCACUUUGCCAAGACUUUCGGGGAUCCCAGGAAGAGUUUGUAUUGUUUCCAGCUCCAGGGGGUUUUGUCCUGAACUGGUGGGUCCGUCUUUGCUUGCAAUCAACAGGCCUUGUAAUAUGAGAGGUGACACCUUAA